GGUCUAAGCUGUCCUGCCGCUGCGGUUUUUUAAAUCGGGGAGGAAAGUCCGGGCAGCAUAGAGUGCCGUACUUCCUAACGGGAAGGCAACGUACCGGCGACAGUCCGUUGACAGCAAGUGCCACAGAAAAAAUACCGCCCUGGCAUAUUUUUUGUAUGCCUCGGUAAGGGUGAAAAGGUGGAGUAAGAGCCCACCGGUUCCCUGGCGACAGGGAAUGCAUGGUAAACCUUACGGGCUGAAAGAUCAAAUAGGUGUUGGUUAAUGGGGCUACUCGUCCCUGCUCUCCGGGGCGCCGGCACGGGUAGAUCGUUAGAGGUUCCGGGUGACCGGAAUCCUGGAUAAAUGGCAGGAGCGGAGAUCAGGUUUCCUGAUUGACGUUACAGAAUCCGGCUUACAGGCUUGGCUUUUUU
rnacentral:RNase_P_RNA from 1 species